GCUUACGGCCACACCGGCCUGAGUACGCCUGAUCUCGUCCGAUCUCGGAAGCUAAGCAGGGUCGGGCCUGGUUAGUACUUGGAUGGGAAACCGCCUGGGAAUACCAGGUGCUGUAAGCU
rnacentral:rRNA from 1 species